GUGGGGAAUUUUGGACAAUGGGCGCAAGCCUGAUCCAGCCAUUCCGCGUGCAGGAUGAAGGCCUUCGGGUUGUAAACUGCUUUUGUACGGAACGAAAAGCCUCUGGUUAAUACCCGGGGGUCAUGACGGUACCGUAAGAAUAAGCACCGGCUAACUACGUGCCAGCAGCCGCGGUAAUACGUAGGGUGCGAGCGUUAAUCGGAAUUACUGGGCGUAAAGCGUGCGCAGGCGGUGCUGUAAGACAGGCGUGAAAUCCCCAGGCUCAACAUGGGGAUUGCGCUUGUGACUGCAGUGGUGGAGUACGGCAGAGGGGGAUGGAAUUCCGCGUGUAGCAGUGAAAUGCGUAGAUAUGCGGAGGAACACCGAUGGCGAAGGCAGUCCCCUGGGCCUGUACUGACGCUCAUGCACGAAAGCGUGGGGAGCAAACAGGAUUAGAUACCCGGGUAGUCC
rnacentral:rRNA from 1 species